AAUGGCUCAUUAAAUCAGUUAUGGUUCAUUAGAUGAUACAUUAUUUUACUUGGAUAACUGUGGUAAUUCUAGAGCUAAUACAUGCAAAUAGAGUUCCCAUCGGUGACGGUAGGAACGCUUUUAUUAGAUCAAAACCAAUACGUUUGUUUCGGCAAACGAUUUCAAUGGUGAUUCUGAAUAACUUUUUGAUGAUCGUACGGUCCUAGUAUCGACGACAAAUCUUUCAAAUGUCUGCCUUAUCAACUGUCGAUGGUAGGCUCUGCGCCUACCAUGGUUGUAACGGGUAACGGGGAAUCAGGGUUCGAUUCCGGAGAGGGAGCCUGAGACCGGACGUGAGUGUGGCAUUCUCUAUUCACCCAUCGCGGUGCUCUUUACUGAGUGUCGUGGCGGGCCGGCACGUUUACUUUGAACAAAUUAGAGUGCUAAAAGCAGGCCUCGUGCCUGAAUAUUGUGUGCAUGGAAUAAUAGAAUAGGACCUCGGUUCUAUUUUGUUGGUUUUCUGGACCAGAGGUAAUGAUUAAGAGGAACGGACGGGGGCAUUCGUAUUGAGACGUUAGAGGUGAAAUUCUUGGAUCGUCUCA
rnacentral:rRNA from 1 species